rnacentral:tRNA from 1 species
GAUUCCUUAGCUCAGUUGGUAGAGCAUCUGCCUUUUAAGCAGGGGGUCCAGGGUUCGAAUCCCUGAGGGAUCA